rnacentral:rRNA from 1 species
GAUGAACGCUAGCGGCAGGCCUAACACAUGCAAGUCGAGGGGUAACAUAGGAAAGCUUGCUUUUCUGAUGACGACCGGCGCACGGGUGCGUAACGCGUAUACAACCUACCUUUUAGCGGGGAAUAGCCCAGGGAAACUUGGAUUAAUGCCCCAUAGUAUAUAGACUUCUCCUGAAGUUUAUAUUAAACAUUUAUGGCUAUUAGAUGGGUAUGCGUCCUAUUAGUUAGUUGGUAAGGUAACGGCUUACCAAGGCAGCGAUAGGUAGGGGUCCUGAGAGGGAGAUCCCCACACUGGUACUGAGACACGGACCAGACUCCUACGGGAGGCAGCAGUGAGGAAUAUUGGACAAUGGGCGAGAGCCUGAUCCAGCCAUGCCGCGUGCAGGAAGACUGCCCUAUGGGUCGUAAACUGCUUUUACAGAGGAAGAACCACCCCCACGUGUGGGGGUUUGACGGUACUCUGCGAAUAAGGAUCGGCUAACUCCGUG